GCGAACGGGUGCGUAACACGUGAGUAACCUGCCCCGAAGACCGGGAUAACAGCGGGAAACCGCUGCUAAUACCGGAUAUCCCCACCGGACCGCAUGGUCUGGUGAGGAAAUGGAUUCUGCUUCGGGAGGGGCUCGCGGCCUAUCAGCUUGUUGGUGGGGUGACGGCCCACCAAGGCGACGACGGGUAGCUGGUCUGAGAGGACGAUCAGCCACACUGGGACUGAGACACGGCCCAGACUCCUACGGGAGGCAGCAGUGGGGAAUCUUGCGCAAUGGGCGAAAGCCUGACGCAGCAACGCCGCGCGAGGGAUGACGGCCUUCGGGUUGUAAACCUCUUUCGAGCAGGGACGAUGAUGACGGUACCUGCAGAAGAAGCUCCGGCCAACUACGUGCCAGCAGCCGCGGUAAUACGUAGGGAGCGAGCGUUGUCCGGAAUCAUUGGGCGUAAAGAGCUCGUAGGCGGUUCGGUAAGUCGGAUGUGAAACCCCCAGGCUCAACCUGGGGCCGCCAUCCGAUACUGCCGUGACUUGAGUCCGGUAGGGGCCCACGGAACUCCUGGUGUAGCGGUGAAAUGCGCAGAUAUCAGGAAGAACACCGAUGGCGAAGGCAGUGGGCUGGGCCGGUACUGACGCUGAGGAGCGAAAGCGUGGGGAGCGAACAGGAUUAGAUACCCUGGUAGUCCACGCCGUAAACGUUGGGCACUAGGUGUGGGACCUUUCAACGGGUUCCGUGCCGUAGCUAACGCAUUAAGUGCCCCGCCUGGGGAGUACGGCCGCAAGGCUAAAACUCAAGGGAAUUGACGGGGGCCCGCAC
rnacentral:rRNA from 1 species